AUACAUGAGCAAAAUCUCAACUUUAUUAGAAGAGACGCAUUUAUUAGAUAAAAAGCCAGUUCAUGCUUUUAUAGUAUGAAAAUUGGUGAUUUAUAAUAACUUAGCAAAUCGCAAAGUGAAAACAGGCGAUAAAUCAUUCAAGUUUCUGACCUAUCAGCUUUCGACGGUAUGGUAUUGGCUUACCGUGGCAGUGACGGUUAACGGGGGAUUAGGGUUCGAUUCCGGAGAGGGAGCCUGAGAAACGGCUACCACAUCUAAGGAAGGCAGCAGGCGCGCAAAUUACCCAAUUCUAACAGUUUGAGAGAGGUAGUAACAAGAAAUAACAAUACAAGGCAGUUAAAAUGCUUUGUAAUUGGAAUGAUAGAAAUUUAAACCCUUUUUGAAGUAUCAAUUGGAGGGCAAGUCUGGUGCCAGCAGCCGCGGUAAUUCCAGCUCCAAUAGCGUAUAUUAAAAUCGUUGCAGUUAAAAAGCUCGUAGUUGAAGUUCUGCUGAAAGUAACCGGUCUGCUUUUAAUAAAAGUGGUAUCAUGGUAUGUAUUUAGCAAUGAUGUCCUUUGAAGUGUUUUUUACUUUAUUGUAAUAAAGCAUAUUCAGGACUUUUACUUUGAGAAAAUUAGAGUGUUUCUAGCAGGCUAACGCUUUGAAUACUGCAGCAUGGAAUAAUAAG
rnacentral:rRNA from 1 species